UGUUGCCUUCGGCGCAUGCCGGAAACGCGUAUUGUAGGGGGUGGAGUCAGAGCUGUUGGCGCGCACAGUGAAAUGGAGCUGCUGGGAGUAGUGAGUGUUGGCGUGUGUACGGGGCAGAUAUAGGGAGAUGUACGUGAGGGCGGAGCAGUCACUAAUUCUUCAGCGCCUCAACUCUGAGGAACCGAGUGUGGGAAUGAGGCGCAGCUGUGACCAGGGGCAGACUCACAAUGAUUGCGCUCCGCUACUGUCCCACAUUCCCCUUCAUUGUACAAUUCCCACGCUGCUCACUCGUGGGUCACAUUGUGUAACUCACAUCUACUUCCGGGUUGUGACCCGCGCCGGCUCCUGUAGCGGGACUGUCACGUGUCCCAUUGGUGCGUCUGUGUCACGUUCCCGGCACACACAGACCCACCGACCUGCAGCAGGACUGAGACUCCCGCCCACUUCAUGAUCAUGUGAUACGUCUGACUGAGAAGUGAGCUGCAUGCUGAUUGGUCAGUUAUGGGAUUCCCAUCUAUUCCCAGGGACUGACCCCUGACCGCUCCUGUAGCCGACAUGCCCAGAGCGACCCCUGAAUGUGGGUCAGAUUCAUAUCAGUGGAGUGUCGGCAUGAGUGUUCCCGGCACACACAGGCCCACCGACCUGCAGCAGGACUGAGACUCCCGUCCACUUCAUGAUCAUGUGAUACGUCUGACUGAGAAGUGAGCUGCAUGCUGAUUGGUCAGUUAUGGGAUUCCCAUCUAUUCCCAGGGACUGACCCCUGACAGCUCCUGUAGCCGACAUGCCCAGAGCGACCCCUGAAUGUGGGUCAGAUUCAUAUCAGUGGAGUGUCGGCAUGAGUAUGAGCUGAUUUGCAUAAAGAUAUCCAGACCAACUGCAUGUCUGUAUUACAUGAGCAACACAGCUGAGCUACGGGCCCCUGAUCAACUGGCGCGUCUCUGAAUGUCCUGCCGUCAGCGCUGGCCGAAUUCUGCAACAAGAACUGACAGUUGGACAGAAUCCAAUGACCACUGAGCCCUGGGGCAGAAAGGCGGUGGCACCCAGACCAUGUGUUGCUCCUAUACUGACGCCUAUAGAAUAAAGGGAACCAUUACUGAGUGUUCUGAUUGUCCCAAUGUCCUGCCACUCAUGGGCAGGGGGUGUAACUGGUCCACCUGCAUCGCUAUAUAGAAUAUAUGUAUAGAAUUAUGGAAUAGAGAUAUAGAAGAUUCGUACAUACAACAUGUGAUUGACAUUCUCUCUCCAGUCAUGUCAUGAGUGAGAGACGGUCCAAUCACAGCAGAACCAACUCAUUACCUGCUCCAUGUGACUUACACUGAAUGAUUUAUAUGUCCAGCCCCAGGGGCCCUAGAGCAGCAGUGAAGGGGUCGGUUGUGCAGCUGGAAGGCCAGUCAGGGGACAUGUGGGAAGAUGACUGUGUCCUAUUGGUUCUAUCCUGGAUGCACAGUGGGGUGUAGGUAACCAAUCACAGCUUGUCCUUGUCAUUCCACCUGGCUGCUGAUUGGCUGAUAACUGGCAAGAGACACCAGAACAUCAGGGAGAGGGGUGGGUGCUGUCUGGAAGUUUUGUGUGUUAAUAUUUAUUAUAAUAUGACUUAGGAUUUUCAUCCAUCCAGGUCAUGGUAUAUCUAAUAGAAGUAAUUCAAAAAUAAACAAGUGGACUUGCUGAGUAAUCAAUGAAGACGUUUCACAUCCGAGCAGCUUCUUCAGUACAACUGACUGGUGUGGGAAGUUCUCAUUCCCUAAAGCUGUUUUAUGUCUCUCACUAUUAGUCUUUUAUUCUCUGUGUCUCUAACUUUCAGUGUGAGGGAGGAGUGUGUGAGAUUCAUAGGGACCUAUAGGAACGUGACUUCAUUCAGCCACUAGUACCUUCUUUCCUUGUUGUUAAACCCCAUGUAAUCAUUUCUACUUAUUUCACAUUCUCAGCUCCUGCCUCACUGUAACAUAGUGACAUCGAUUUAUAGACUAGAAAUGGAUUUCAGUGCAGAAUUCUGCUGGAGCAGCUCUAUUAUUAACUGAGAAAACAUGUUUCCCACGACAGUGUCCCUUUAAUCAAAAGGCAACUCCCCCAAAAGCCCCUUUUUUGCAUAAUGAGAUAAAAUGUAAUUCUAGGAUAUAUAUA